rnacentral:rRNA from 1 species
AUUGAACGCUGGCGGCAGGCCUAACACAUGCAAGUCGAACGGUAACAGGAAGCAGCUUGCUGCUUCGCUGACGAGUGGCGGACGGGUGAGUAAUGUCUGGGAAGCUGCCUGAUGGAGGGGGAUAACUACGGGAAACGGUAGCUAAUACCGCAUAAUGUCGCAAGACCAAAGAGGGGGACCGUCGGGCCGCUUGCCAUCGGAUGUGCCCAGAUGGGAUUAGCUUGUUGGUGGGGUAACGGCUCACCAAGGCGACGGUCCCUAGCUGGUCUGAGAGGAUGACCAGCCACACUGGAACUGAGACACGGUCCAGACUCCUACGGGAGGCAGCAGUGGGGAAUAUUGCACAAUGGGUGCAAGCCUGAUGCAGCCAUGCCGCGUGUAUGAAGAAGGCCUUCGGGUUGCAAAGUACUUUCAGCGGGGAGGAAGGGAGUAAAGUUAAUACCUUUGCUCAUUGACGUUACCCGCAGAAGAAGCACCGGCUAACUCCGU